UAAAGACUCACAUUUUCAAUGAGGAACCUUAAAGCUUGUCGUCUCAGUAGAAUAUCCAGCCUCCUGUCCUCCCUGCUCUUCGUCCUUGAUGACCAGCUGGGUGGUCUGCCUGACCGCGCUGACCUAUGACCUCUGCUGACGUAAAUUCGCUAAUGGUUAGCACCUUGUUCCUUCAGUGGCGGGCCUUCCUGUGCUCGGCUGAUGUGACCCGGUUCUCCUGCCGAGGUAAAACUGUCUGAGAGGAGCCGGUUCAGCAGAAACAGCAAAGCUCAGCCUGGAAUAUUUCUGGAGAUUUAUGUUCAAUCAGCGACUUUAUGUCAAAAGUGCAACAGGAUCCAUAAUUUAAAGAGGAGAGCAUCUGGAAAUAAUCUUGGAUCUGAAGUUCUGGUCGGACCUGUAGUGUCUGCAGGUCCAGAAGAACGCCUGUCGCUCUCGACCUCCUGCUGAGGCGAAGCCAGAGCUGCAGCAUCUUUGUGCUGUUUGUACAGGAACCACAGAGAAAGAGCAGGACCUUUGCAUGUUCAGAGAUGAGCUGACUCUAAUCACUCCUGUUUGGGCUCUGAGCUGAGAGAGGAGAGUGCGGAAAAUAAUUACCCGCUUCUGGAUGCCCUUUUACUGUGAAUGAAAGGAGAUGUUAGAUUGGAAUCGGAUGGUAAUGGGAGGUUGUCUGAGCGAAUGUGAUGGGGAGCUGCUGAAUGCUGCUGGAGGGAAAGAAAACAAGACCCGGCGAGACGGUUCAUUCCUGCAGCCCUAAAAGCUCCUGGCAACCCGCCUCGCUCCGCUUGUGAAGAACAUACAGGACGGGUCAGAGAAGGAUGUUGGGCCUGACGUUAUCGUGUCCUGAGUGCAAACUACGAGACGGGAGGACAUGUUGACAGUCUGACUGACUGACCGCGCUGAAUUUCAAUGUUUCUGCCUAGUCACACAUCAGCACACUUUGGAAAAAUCUUUGUUUUUUUUGUUGCUUUUGAACUUUUUGUUACUAUUUAGCUGAAUGUGAAAUGUCUUCAAAUAUCCUCUUCCUUCCAUGUUUCCAUCACUGAUAAAGUCUGAGACGUCAAGCAGCCUACAGUGUUGACGUCCACGUCCUGCAGCCUUGACACGCUGCCCACAGGUUGUUUUUUAUGGAGUUAUUUUAACGUCCUGCACCUGACAUAUUGCCUAAAAUGAAAUAUAGUGUAAAAUGUGCAUGUUUUUCACUGAGAAACAUGCCAGAAAACUAACAGUUUUUAUGGAAACAGACUUAAAUGACCUACUAUGGAAAAUCCCCUUUAUGCAGUUUUUUGUUCUUCCAUUCUGGUUUCUGCUGGUUUUAGAAACAGUUCAAGAACUUAAAGAAAACAGAAACAAUCUGAUUGGACAGUGCUAUUGUUGUGUUCAUGCUAUGCUAAAAGGAGUUAGCCUAUCAGCGAAACAAUUCAAACCUGAAACAGCAUCUCAAUGCUUAACAUGUAGCAGCAACACCAGUGUCUCCAAUGCUAAUGCUAAUGCUAGCGUCUACAUUUCUAAAGCAGUUCCAUGAAUGAUCAGGACUUCCUGAAACACUAAGCUAAACUUUGCACCAAUAUGACAGUUAGAUAAAAAAUAAGAGAUUAAAAACAAUAAAUAUUUCUGAUUAUUUUAUUUGUGUGUUUAUUCAAUAAUUUUAGCAACAUGAAAGGUUUCUAAAUUGAAAAUAUAGCUUAUUUUGAUUAAAAUGUGAUUAAUAAAUUAAAGACCCUGUAAUUAACUUGAUCAAAGAAUCCCACCUGGACUUUAAAUGCAGAUUUUGUUCUUAGUGUCAUUUCUUAACCUUUAUUCUGAUUUGCCUUUUCUAUGAAAGCUGCCAUAGAAAUAAAACUGCCUUUUGUUAACUGACAAAAUGAAUCAGGGAGUCUUUGUGAAGUCUGGAUCUGACAGACGUUCACUUCCACUGAGCUCCGAGGAACAAAGCGAAGCUGUGUGUGUCAUUAUCUUCAUCAGUUAUUAUUGAUUUCAAGUGAUCUCCCACAUUUUAGAAAGCAUCUCUUCCAUAUUCAAUUUGCAUAAAUGGAUCAUAAAACUGGGUUGAAUGAUCAGGUCUGCAGCUUGACUAAACCUCUGUGUGAUUAUAAGCUGGAUGUUUGGACGAGCAAUCAAUUGGGGAAUCUGACAGUUUCCCGUUUUGGAACAUGCCAGCAGACAGCCAGUCAUCCUUCAUGCGUCCUUUGUGACUGAUGCAUCUACUUCCUGUCUACAACACAUACAUGUCGUCGACCAUUUUGCACGCACACACAGCAUCAGAUGGUGCAUAGCGUAUCGUGGCUGUCUAAACAUGAUGAUGGUGGAGCAGCUCUACGUAUCCGUCAUUCUGCUGACACUACAGGCUUGAGUGAUUGGGCUUUGAGAGGCCUCAGCCUGAGUGCUGCAGACUCUGACCCAGCAGAUCAGUCACCUCAGUCAGCGACUGGCGGAGGAGAACACACUGCCUGCUGGGAUAUUUUAAGAAAACAAACGUGACUUUCUGUCUGUAAAUGCAGUCAGUUCCUGACAUUUGUGCUAUUUGUUAAAUUAUAUGAAUCAGCUCCAGUAAAAAGAACGAUGAUGUG